rnacentral:lncRNA from 1 species
GACUCCUAGAGCUGCUAGAGGAGGAAGUGUUGGAGGAUAUUUUGAAUCAAGUAAAAACCCUAAAAAUCUCAAAAAAAAUGGAGAAAAAUAUGAAAUGGGAUGCUUGUGGAAAAUCGAACAGGCAGAAUGUAAAGGAGAAGAAAUGGAAGAGGAAUAAAAAAUAUAUAUAUAGGAAGAGAGUUCUAGAACUAACCUAGGCUGGUCCGAAGGAUGCAGAAAUGCAGAGAUGGGGACGACUUGAAGAAUGCCUA